AAAGGAAAAUAAUGAUCAUCUCAAUUUUUAUAUGUGGAGGCAUUGCUUUUCUUCUUUGGGGGAUUUUAAGAUUUCCCAGAAAAUUUGGAAUUCCAAGGCACCUUAGAAACAAGACAUGCCUAGAAAAUUUGACUAUGUGUCCACAAGGCUGGAACUGAAUCAAUAAUAAUUGCUUCUUUCAAUCUGAACAUGAAACAACGUGGAUCAAUGGCUGAGAAAACUGCAGAAGUUAUGGAUCUCUGGCCAGGCUCAACUCUCAGAAUGAAAUGGGAAUCUUUGAUGCAUUAUCUGGGGCCGUCUUUAUAUUGGUUUGAACUGAGCAAGCACAAUGCAAACAAAACGUGGAUGUGGGCAGAUGGAGCUACAUUCAGCAAUUGUCAAGUUAUGAAACUAGCGAAUUAUUUACAUUAAGUGGAUUUGUUGUUGCUGUCGUUGCUGAAACUAGUGAAAGAAUCGAGUUUUGUGCUAUGAGUCAUGGGAGCAAAACGUGAGUAUUUAGAAGUGGAGAGGACCACGAAGAAGGAAGCCCUGGUGACUUGAAGAAAUCAUGGAGAGUUCUCCGGAUUCCCACAAACCUAUGGGGUUUAGAUUCCAGCUAAUACUUACACGGGUCUCAGAAGGACAGAGGGCAAGGGUUAACAUC
rnacentral:lncRNA from 1 species